rnacentral:lncRNA from 1 species
UAGAUUUAACUAUUAUGCACUCAUAAUUUAUUUCUGUAUCUGGCACCCUUAUGCCUUAAUUGGCAUUUGGAAUGUCACACUAUACCUGAGCCAAAACAUAUCGGUAGUGAUCGGUACAAUGAGGGUUUGGCUGCAUACCAGGAAUGGUCCAAGAAGGAUCGUUCUAUGCGCUAUGCUAUGUUGUAUUGCAUCCAUAACGAUCUCAUUGGAGAGUUUGAGAGUUGU